UACGGGGGGAGCCAGCGUUGUUCGGAUUUAUUGGGCGUAAAGAGCUCGUAGGCGGUUUGUUGCGUCGGCUGUGAAAUCCCGAGGCUCAACCUCGGGUCUGCAGUCGAUACGAGCAAACUAGAGUGUUGCAGGGGAGACUGGAAUUCCUGGUGUAGCGGUGAAAUGCGCAGAUAUCAGGAGGAACACCGGUGGCGAAGGCGGGUCUCUGGGCAACAACUGACGCUGAGGAGCGAAAGCGUGGGGAGCGAACAGG
rnacentral:rRNA from 1 species